rnacentral:lncRNA from 1 species
ACUAUAUAUAUGUUUCAAGGAAAAAAAAAAAAGGAAUACAAAGAGGACCAAAAGACAAUUAAAAGAAAAAUAUAUGCUGCAAAAACAUAAAAUUUUAUUCUUUUAUUACAUAUAAAUUAUGUAUUGCUUAUAUUUAUGUAUAAUUAUUUAUUAUUUUUAUCACCCCUAGACUUACAUCAAACACAGGCCAUUCCAUUUUCACACAUACCACAUUUUAAGCCUGUAAUAGCUGCACGUCAACUUUCAUCAUGGCCGUCUAAGAAGCUCCACUGACCUGGUCCUCAGUGAGACUGAGUAGAUGAAUCUUGUGUUACUUUGCUUGUACCCGCCGUUGACUAAAGAGCAAGGUCCCAAGGUGAUAAAAGGGGCUUUACUCCUUCCCACAAUGGAGCCUAUCCAGCCAGGGACUAUCUAUGGACAUGUGUGUGGCCCACAGUCUUCUUUAUGGGACAUUAGGUGUUCCUCUUGGAACCCUGGGGGGAAGGACCACCACAUGCUACAGACGUACAGCCUUGGAUUUCAACAUGGCCCCUGAAGGCCUCAGUAUGCUCUUCAUUCUUGGUCCGCCAUCUAAAGGGAAGUGACACUGUGACUGCCGGGCCCAUUCCCUGGAGGAGGAGGGAUGGCAGGGUGGACAUAGCUCCAACCCCUUACCCCUGGUGAAAUUGAAAAUUUAGGUCUGGUAUUCUAAGCCAGGGGCUAAAAUGAUCCUGGCCACAAUCCUAUCACAGAAUAAACAUGCAUCCUC